UUUAAUUCUUAUAUUACAUGCUUUUAUUUGUAGACAAUUGGGAUAUUUCCCAAGGAGUUAAGUUUUCUCUGGCCUCUUCCAGUGAACUACAAGUUUUGGUUUACCAGUUGGUCCUUGCAUGUUCUUGUGACUGGAGGUGUGCCAAAGUCUGUGAUCCAUCUCAGAAACAGCCUUCCUCUUCACCUCUGCCUCCUAGAAGUAUUUACCUUUGCUCAGGAUCAAUGAAAUCAUCACCCACUUUCUACAGAAACACUUCUUAUUACCUCCUAGUUAUUGGUGAUUCUCAUUUUCCUUGAAGUAGUUUAUAUUUACUUAUAAGUUUACAUGUUUACUUCAAUUCAGUAAAUGCAAGACAUGCAAGUCCCUGUGCUAGAUUUUGAGGAUACAAAGGAAAAAAAAAAACUAAACUAACUGAGCAUUUAUAAAGUGCCCACUAUAUACCAGGCACUGUACUAAAUAGGGGUACAAAGAAAAGUAAAAAUCAGUCUCUUCCCAUGAGUAGCUUAAACAGCAACAAUAACCCCCCCCCAAAAAAAGCCUAAUCCUGCCCUUUAUUGUAUUCCCUCAGAAGAAAGAAAUCUAUCAAAAUGGAACUUUUAUUUUUGUUUUGUUUUGUAUACUCAAUGCUCAGGAUGUUGCAACUUAUAAGCACUUAAUAAAUGUUCAUUUGAGCCCUAGAACUAGACGAAG
ensembl:lncRNA